rnacentral:rRNA from 1 species
UCGAGCGGAGAUGAGGUGCUUGCACCUUAUCUUAGCGGCGGACGGGUGAGUAAUGCUUAGGAAUCUGCCUAUUAGUGGGGGACAACAUUCCGAAAGGAAUGCUAAUACCGCAUACGCCCUACGGGAGAAAGCAGGGGAUCUUCGGACCUUGCGCUAAUAGAUGAGCCUAAGUCGGAUUAGCUAGUUGGUGGGGUAAAGGCCUACCAAGGCGACGAUCUGUAGCGGGUCUGAGAGGAUGAUCCGCCACACUGGGACUGAGACACGGCCCAGACUCCUACGGGAGGCAGCAGUGGGGAAUAUUGGACAAUGGGGGGAACCCUGAUCCAGCCAUGCCGCGUGUGUGAAGAAGGCCUUAUGGUUGUAAAGCACUUUAAGCGAGGAGGAGGCUACUGAGACUAAUACUCUUGGAUAGUGGACGUUACUCGCAGAAUAAGCACCGGCUAACUCUGUGCCAGCAGCCGCGGUAAU